rnacentral:rRNA from 1 species
AACGAACGCUGGCGGCAGGCCUAACACAUGCAAGUCGAACGCCCUAGCAAUAGGGAGUGGCAGACGGGUGAGUAACGCGUGGGAACCUUCCCUAUAGUACGGAAUAUACCAGGGAAACUUGGAGCAAUACCGUAUACGCCCGAAAGGGGAAAGAUUUAUCGCUAUAGGAUGGGCCCGCGUAGGAUUAGCUAGUUGGUGAGGUAAUGGCUCACCAAGGCGACGAUCCUUAGCUGGUCUGAGAGGAUGAUCAGCCACACUGGGACUGAGACACGGCCCAGACUCCUACGGGAGGCAGCAGUGGGGAAUAUUGGGCAAUGGGCGCAAGCCUGACCCAGCCAUGCCGCGUGAGUGACGACGGCCUUAGGGUUGUAAAGCUCUUUUGGCGGGGACGAUAAUGACGGUACCCGCAGAAUAAGCCCCGGCUAACUUCGUGCCAGCCGCCGCCGUAAAAC